rnacentral:rRNA from 1 species
CAGCCGCCACGGUAAUACGAAGGGUGCAAGCGUUAAUCGGAAUUACUGGGCGUAAAGCGUGCGUAGGCGGUUUGUUAAGUCUGUUGUGAAAUCCCCGGGCUCAACCUGGGAAUGGCAAUGGAUACUGGCAAGCUAGAGUGUGUCAGAGGAUGGUGGAAUUCCCGGUGUAGCGGUGAAAUGCGUAGAGAUCGGGAGGAACAUCAGUGGCGAAGGCGGCCAUCUGGGACAACACUGACGCUGAGGCACGAAAGCGUGGGGAGCGAACAGGAUUAGAGACCCGCGUAGUCCCUGUCUCUUAUAC